rnacentral:rRNA from 1 species
UACAGAGGGGGCAAGCGUUGUUCGGAAUUACUGGGCGUAAAGGGCGCGUAGGCGGCCCGCUAAGUCGAACGUGAAAUCCCCGAGCUCAACUCGGGAACUGCGUCCGAUACUGGUGGGCUUGAAUCCGGGAGAGGGAUGCGGAAUUCCAGGUGUAGCGGUGAAAUGCGUAGAUAUGUGGAGGAACACCGAUGGCGAAGGCAGCCUUCUGGGCCAACACUGACGCUCAUGCACGAAAGCGUGGGGAGCAAACAGG